AUGUUGAUAUCAGAUUCGCUAUUUGUGUUGAUUGGUGGUUUGAUCAGUUGUGGGUGUUCUCUUUUUGGUCGGUUUGUUAAGAGUCUGGAGUAUUUAUGAGGUGGUCGUGUUCUGUGCUUAUCGACACAUAAAUCAUAUGCAUGCAUGUGUGGCUUUUUGUUUUGUAGUGAUAAUAGAACUGGAAUUGAAUGUAGAAGGUUUAGCAGACGCAUAAGGUUCUUUAUUUGUUGAUUGAGGUUUGAGUGUUGUCCCAUGUUCUUGAACAGAAGGCACAUAUAGUCACGUGCACUUAUGUAACCGUUCCUUAAUGGUGUUUAGAGCAUAAAUUUUAAGUCAGAGGUUUUAGAAGAUGCAUAAGAUGGUAGCUUUGUUGGUUAAGUUGCCUUGAUAGAGAUGCUACCAUUGCUGUUUCCUUAUAUGAAGCACCAGGAACUUGUGAAUGCUUGAAGACUGUGCUGGGAUUAAUGUUUUAUGUGUGGAACAAAUUCAAUUGGUGGAGUUGUUCAAUCGUGGAAAGCAUGUUUUUGUGCUUGUUAUUCCCACUUAAUUCCUUUCUUGGGAAACAACAAAGGUUUUGGAUUAUUCCUGUCGGUAUUUGAAUUCUGUGAUAAUAACAGAAUAACCCCUCUUUGACAAGAGGUGUUGCUCUGAUGGUAAGCAACCCCACUUCCAACCGAGAGGUUGUGAGUUCAAGUCUCCCAAGAGCAAGGUGUGAAGUUCUUGGAGGGAAGGAUGCCGGGUCUAUUUGGAAACAGCCUCUCUACCCAAGGGUAGGGGUAAAGUCUGCGUACACACUACCCUCCCCAGACCCCACUAANNNNNNNNNNNNNNNNNNNNNNNNNNNNNNNGCAAGGUGUGAAGUUCUUGGAGGGAAGGAUGCCGGGUCUAUUUGGAAACAGCCUCUCUACCCAAGGGUAGGGGUAAGAUCUGCGUACACACUACCCUCCCGGACCCCACUAAGUGGGAUUAUACUGGGUUGUUGUUGUUGUUGUUGUUGAUAAUAACAAAAUAACUAGUUUUCCAGUUGUGGGACAUUUAUUACACGUUUCCUGAAUCAAGAAGAAUUGGGGUGUGCAAUUCCUGGAAACGACAAAUUUGCAGGUUACUCAAAUUGUCCAAAUAUUUUCCAGAUGCAUGAUAGACACAUUCAUUAUAAGGAAGUGUUGUCUAUUAUACUUCCUGUUGGAAUUAAUUGGAACUUGGAGUAGCCGAAAGUAACAAAAUAGCUCAUUUUGUGACAAUUGAUGCGUGCUCACCACGUGCCCAAGUUGGAAGGUGUUUCCUUUUUUACUUCAAACCGGACUGGGAUAAAUAAAAACUUUGGAAUGAUAUGACUGUUAAUUCUGGUGAAGUGCUUCUGGUGUUUGUUGUUUUCAGUAGUUUCUAUAUAACUGUUAACUCUUGUAUAUCAUUAGUUAUUCCAUCCUGGGUAGUAAAGUCAGCUACUUCUUGCACGGUGAGCAUGUUCUCAUGCUCAUUAAUAUCUUUUGCUUAUUAAGAUCUUGUCUUCAUUGGUCUGAUCAAUGUCAUGACGGAUCUCAUUGACUUCAUUUCUUUUACACUCUAGAUUUCCUUCUUAUUGUCCGGGAAUUAAAUGUCAUUCAGAUUAUUUGUUGUCACAUCCGCGCUGCAGUUGCAGAUUUAGAUAAGAGGGACUAUUUGACUUAUUUCCUUCUG
rnacentral:lncRNA from 1 species